rnacentral:rRNA from 1 species
CCUACGGGAGGCAGCAGUAGGGAAUAUUGCUCAAUGGGGGAACCCCUGAAGCAGCAAAGCCGCGUGGAGGAUGACUGUUUUCGGAUUGUAAACUCCCUUUGUUAGAGAAGAUAAUGACGGUAUCUAACGAAUAAGUACCGGCUAACUCCGUGCCAGCAGCCGCGGUAAUGCGGAGGGUGCAAACGUUACUCGGAAUCACUGGGCGUAAAGAGCGCGUAGGGGGGAUAGCAAGUCAGAUGUGAAAUCCUAUGGGUUAACGAUAGAACUGCAUUUGACACUGUUAUUCUAGAGUGUGGGAGAGGUAGGUGGAAUGCGUGGUGUAGGGGUAAAAUCCAUAGAGAUCAAGAGGAAUACUGAUUGCGAAGGCGACCUGCUAGAGCAUAACUGACGCUGAUGCGCGAAAGCGUGGGGAUCGAACAGGAUUAGAUACCCUGGUAGUC